rnacentral:rRNA from 1 species
GAUGAACGCUAGCGACAGGCUUAACACAUGCAAGUCGAGGGGCAUCACGGGUAGCAAUAUCUGGUGGCGACCGGCGGACGGGUGAGUAACGCGUAUGUAACCUACUUGUAAACGGGAGACAAACCUGGAGAAAUUUGGGCUAAACUUCCAUGAGGCAUUAUUAUUGCAUGGUAAUAAUGUCAAACGUAAGGUUUACAGAUGGGCAUGCGUAUGAUUAGCUAGCUGGCAGGGUAAUAGCCUACCAAGGCAACGAUCAUUAGGGGUUCUGAGAGGAAGGUCCCCCACAUUGGAACUGAGAUACGGUCCAAACUCCUACGGGAGGCAGCAGUGAGGAAUAUUGGUCAAUGGACGGAAGUCUGAACCAGCCAAGUCGCGUGAAGGAAGAAGGUCUUACGGAUUGUAAACUGCUUUCGACGGGGAUGAAAGGUAAGAGGGCCAAUACCCCCCUUAUUUGACAGUACCCGGUGAAGAAGCCCUGGCUAACUCCGUG